GGCUUCUGACAGAAAAUGGGUGCGCAGACCCUUUUAAAGGCAUUAUUACAUCAUUGAAGAAAAUCAAGAUAACAGCAAAUAGACACUAUUGAUUGGUCCAGGUGUUAAGUGGUUAGUUAGGUACCCUCCUAUCAAGAGGUGAUGUCAUCCUUGACACGGGAGUGGACACAAGAUGUAGGCGCCAUCUUGUUAGCACGAGGUGUUCACUCGAUGGGAGGGGUGCUUUGGCAGCCAUCCAUUUAGAGUGUAGCUGGCACGGUUAGUUUCUCAAGGUUAAGUUUCAAGGAUUUUAGUAAAUACACAUUUUAUCAAAGCUAUUUCUUGCUGGCAUGCAAAUUCUAUGUUCUAUAGACAAAGCUUCCUUGUAAAACUAUGGGGGCCUCUUAGAGGUAUAGCAAGAGGAUUUAAAGGGGCCUUACAGAUUUAUAGAGGCCUAAUAAUUCUACAACAGUCCCCCCUAAAAUGUUAUUUGCUAAAAGACAAAACUUUAUUUGUUAGUAUCAGAAGAAGUAUUAGCCCAAAGACACAGAAACCCCAUGACCGCUGACUUAGUGUUAAUGCAAAGUGCAA